rnacentral:tRNA from 1 species
ACCUGAGGGGCUCAGUUGGUUAAGCACCUGACUUCGGCUCAGGUCAUGAUCUCACGGUUUGUGGGUUUGAGCCCCACAUCAGGCU